UUACAUUUAAAAUGUAUUGGCAUAAAUGAGGAAUCCUGACUUCUUACAUCUUUACAGUUAAAUCCUUUUAUGGGUGGGCUCAAAGAUGCACUGCCAUUUCCAGAGGCUGGAGUGUAUUUUUAGAGGAAGCCUUUUGAUAGCGUUGUUAAAAACUGAUUGCAUUCCAUCCCUAACGUCAGCCUGAUGCAGAGGAUUUUGCAAAGGCAGUUUGUUAUAAAUUGUUGAGUCACCCUGCUCUGUAACUGGUAUGAACUGAAGUGCUACGCCUAUAGCCUACAGAAAAACACUCUGGAAUUCACCAAGAAGGUAUCCAAAAACAAACCUGACUAUUUUUACACGUUAGCUGUGUUUGCUUUCUGCUAAUAACAAUUAAUGAGAUUUGUUUGUCUUCCUUUCAGGUCUGUAAUGGGGGGAUGCAGCCGCUGCAGGCAGCAGAUGUGAGCAGUGGCAGCCCAGAGGAUGCGCUCACUGCCCAGCCAGGUCAGUGCUUUGUGCUGGCAAGGGAUGGGGUGCACACACUGCUCCUUCCCACAUGGUCACCCAGGGAAUUCACAAAAUACAGAGGAUUUUACCUGUCUGACGGGUAUUUUUUGUUUGACAACAUUUACAUUCUAAGGCACCAGCACAUGAUGAGGCAAACUGCUCUGCCUGGUUCCCCUAACAGCAGCUGCAGGUAGGAAACAAAAAGGCAAACACAGUUUGUGUACUCUUAUUUAUAUGGCCACCGUGGGUCGUGCGACAGCUGCUCCGGGGCUGCAGAGACAUCUAGUGGGAAUGAGGCUCUCACAGCAGCAGCUCGGAAGCGUGAGAAAGCACCUUCACACUGCAGCAUUUUCAGAGUACUGCACUCCAAAAUGUGCCCAAGGGCUGAGAUGCUCCUCCUGUCACCACUGUAAGACUAUGCCAUGCAGUCGUAAUACAUACUGCAUUUCUAAAGUAGCAAGACCAAUAGCCAAGUAGUGAUUUUCAUUUUCACCUGGGUUUAAAUCGCACUAGAACAAUAAUUUUCAGCUUGCAAAGCACACACACGUUGCUGGGUGGGAGCCCAGCGAGCAGAGAAAUGCAGUUCUGUCCUGCUGUGUGUUGCUGAACUCCCUCUGCCCCUCUCUGGGCUGAGCUUCAACUCCGGUUUCCUUCCAGAAGGAGUGCAGUAUCACGGUACAUCUCGUCCUGCAGUGGCAAUUCCAGGGUGACUCAGAGCCUAAGUCCUGCUCCCUGCUGUCAUACAAUCUGACCCUGCCACCUCUAUUUUUUCUCUAGAUCUCACCAAAGUAGUAAGACAAAGAGGGCAGGGAACAAUCAGGAAAAAACCAAAUCAAAUGAAGUACAAAGUCAAAAUUACAAGUGGUGAGUAGCUUAAAUUCUGUUGUACUGUAACCUAUGGCACUGCUUAUAAUUCCUGCUACAAUACGAAGUCACCGCAGCCUUGUGGCACAGGUGGAUUAAGUCCUGGGUUCGAGUUGAUCUCUUCUAAAACAGGUUUCUAGAGUUCAAGGAUCUCUGCUAAAAAUAUCCUCCUUCUGGUAACAUGACAAAUGGAAAACUGUGAUCAUAGGGAAGGCUGGUUUUGAGUUACUGAUGAAAAAACGGCCUUCAGGAUCACUCAGUCCUGUUCAUAUCUGAAAGCUUUAAGCAGAAGUAGCAAAAUUUGAUCUCCUGGCCAGCAGUGUUGUCACAGCUACAAAAAUCCUUCUAAAAUACUGUAACCACAAUUUAAAAGUAAACACGGCUGAUUUUCAAGGAAUUAUCAUAAUUAAAAGAGAAAUAGCUGUGGACAUGCUGGAUGACUCAAGGGCUAGUGAACAUUUUACCUGAAAGUUAUCAAAUCAAAAUCAGCCUGGCUUGAUUUAAUUGAUGGUGGCUGUUCGGCAGGCUAAGUGAAAUGAGUUUGCUAAUGUAAUUUCUAGGGGUAGAGGUCUUUGCUGACUACCAGAAGUCAGAAUAGAUCAAGUUACAGCAUUAUCUUUUCACUCCUACACAUGAUUUGGCUAAGUCAGAUUUAAGGUAGUUCAGUAUUACGAGGAACUCUGUGCUGCAACCAAUUGUAUCUGAGACACACUGCCACAAGUCCUGAAUGACAAAACCUUAGCACAGAUGUCUCUAAGGACUACACAAUGCACCCAGCAGCCCCAGGUUUAGUUGGGCAGCUAACAAACAACUGCUUCUUUCCCUUUCUAAUCAGGAAUCCAUCCACGUUCACCAGGAGGAUGAAAUAAAGUGGAAAAUACGGCGAGAAGAAAUACAGUUUUAAUAGGCAAGAGUCAUAAAUUGCAAUGGUUUACAUUGGAAAACCUCAGAAGCAAAGACGCUAAGAAAGCAGAGCAACUGUAGGAAGGUAGGAUUUUUUUCUCUGGCUCAGGAAACACGUGGACUGAAAGACAGCACUGCAUUCUUGCAAGACCACAGUGAUUAAUCUGGGCACAUAGAUGAGUUUCGUGUCUGUGUUAUGACGCACUUAAUAAAAAUCGUAUCUGGCUAUCCCAUUAGGUAAUACAUUUACGUUUUCCUCAAGCAAAAAUGCCCCACAUGUGGAGCUUAUGGAGUGCACAUGUAUUUGGACACAACCCUUUGAAAAUAUGUCCAAAGCUUGUAAGGUAAUUUUAAGCGGUAGGUUUUUCAGAAUUAUGUUUAGUCUUGCAAUACUGGGUAUAGAAUCGAGUUUCUUUGUAAUGUUGCUUCCCUCUCUCAUCCUUCAUUUCUGAUGCUCAAAUAUCUGUCUGCCUUUGACAGGAAAAUGAAUAAUUUAUCACAGGAUGCUAUUCAAGUAAAAGCAAAAUAAGGAAAUAGAGAGUUUACACAACUUCAAUCAAGAGCGCUGUAGUAGACAGUUACACUUGUAACCCUCCAGACUGGCCUUACACAACCUUUAUGGGAACAAACUCAGUGCAACAGCUGAAAGUUUAAGCUGGAAAAUCAGCAACAGCAGCUUCUGAGGGCAGAGUGCUGAUCCAGCACCUCUCUGGUAGGACUCAGCUUUGGAAAGCACCGACAUUCACUGCAAACAAAUCCUGCAGGAGGGCACUGACAUCACAUGGGUUGGUGUUAGAACAUCCAGCUUCACUUAUGCAACAAGGAAUCCAUGCUAUGAUUCAAACUCACUUGCAAGAUACAACACCUGGCACUGCUAAGAUUGAUAAUAAACUCCAAGUGAAAUCUUA